UUUCCUCAUUGGUGCCCUCAAUGGAUAGAGCGUCUCAGUGGAGCUGCUGAAGCUAGACGCUCAACCUGCACAUGAGUGAGUGCUCGUGGAAGCGCGCUGCAAACAUGUCGAUGGUGGCUGCUGAAGCUUGACUUUGGCAACGAGUCCAGGUGGCCAUUGGCACAGACAUGUCAUCCGUGAGCUUUAGUUCCAGGCGAGAUUCCAAGAGAAAUGUUCCCUUGCUUUGGUUGGAUGGGUGUAGGAGCAGCAAGCAUCGCCGCCACACGGAAAACUCCAGUAACUUCUUGCCCCUUCCAGCCUCGGUGAGAUGGCAUCGUAUUUUUUGAUCACGAACGACUUCAAGCUGAAGAUGUUGAACCAUGCGAUGCAAGAAUUAUUAUUUUGGGCUCCUAUGGAAGUCAAGGAACGUACAUAGAUAUUGGAAGCUAUACACUAUAAUGGAAUUUCUUCUGCUCUCGUAUGGAAACCUGCAACACACUGAAUGUUUUAUUUGUCGAUGACAAUGAAUUACUCAUGUUUUGUCUAAAAAAUGUGAAACAAUUCUUAUUUGCACUUUCUGCAGACUCAUGUAAUUGCUGUCAAGAACACUGUCAGUUCAGCGGUUGUCAUCAUGCAAGCAAUUGGCCGCUGAUCUGCUUGCUCUUUGUACUACUAAAGGUGGCAUCAUACGGCGAAGCAGGGGAUAUGGAUCAGAAGCCGCAAUGGUGCGCGUGACGACAUGUCUAACACUUGCCUGACCCUGGACUCUGGCUUCUUCUUGCAAGUAAGCUCAUUUUGCUCUUCUACACCCCCCAACUCAUGUGAGGAUCUCUGGUUGGAUUUGGGUAACCAGACCCCAAGAGAUGUAAUCCUAUUUGGAUAUAAAUUGUCUAUGCUAGCUUGAUUUAGUUAAUAGGAGUAGAUUUUAUAGAUGAACUGUGUAUGCUAGCUUGAUGGGGUAUCCAUUAACGUCUAAGGUUUCACAAGGAAAUGAGUUUCUUGCAUUCUCAUGUUGAAAAGGAUUAAAGAAACCUAGCAGAAUAUGGUUUCAAAGUUUUAGUUUCUUAUUGGGUUCAUCCACAAGGUUUGCCGAAAGUUAUCAACUUGCUUUGUAAAAAGGCUUUGUAUCAUGUAUCUUUGUUUGUGCAAGAAAUCCAAUUGGAAUUGGUCUCUUGUCAUGUGCAUGUACUUUCUUUAUUGCUUAUAUAUUUCAACCACUUAUCUAAGUUGUCUCUAAACCAUUUUCGA